AUGAGCUGGGACAGCACUUGUUCUCUCAACCCUUUCUUUUCCAUCUCUCUUCCUCUCCCUGUAUCAGCCCACUCUCCUCCACCUCUCCCCCUCUCCCUGUAUCAGCCCACUCUCCUCCACCUCUCCCCCUCUCCCUGUAUCAGCCCACUCUCCUCCAUCUCUCUUCCUCUCCCUGUAUCAGCCCACUCUCCUCCACCUCUCCCCCUCUCCCUGUAUCAGCCCACUCUCCUCCAUCUCUCUUCCUCUCCCUGUAUCAGCCCACUCUCCUCCACCUCUCCCCCUCUCCCUGUAUCAGCCCACUCUCCUCCAUCUCUCUUCCUCUCCCUGUAUCAGCCCACUCUCCUCCACCUCUCCCCCUCUCCCUGUAUCAGCCCACUCUCCUCCAUCUCUCUUCCUCUCCCUGUAUCAGCCCACUCUCCUCCACCUCUCCCCCUCUCCCUGUAUCAGGCCACUCUCCUCCACCUCUCCCCCUCUCCCUGUAUCAGCCCACUCUCCUCCCGUCCUGUCUUCCUCUCUCCCUCUUCCUCUCCCUCUCCCUGUAUCAGCCCACUCUCCUCCACCUCUCUUCCUCUCCCUCUCCCUGUAUCAGCCCCCUCUCCUUCACCUCUCUUCCUCUCCUUGUAUCAGCCCACUCUCCUCCACCUCUCUUCCUCUCUCCCUCUCCCUGUAUCAGCCCCCUCUCCUCCACCUCUCUUCCUCUACCUGUAUCAGCCCACUCUCCUCCACCUCUCUUCCUCUCCCUGUAUCAAUCCCCUCUCCUUCACCUCUCUUCCUCUCCCUGUAUCAGCCCCCUCACCUCCACUUCUCUUCCUCUCCCUAUAUCAGCCCACUCUCCUCCACCUCUCUUCCCCUCUCCCUCUCGUCCUCUCUCCCUGUAUCAGCCAACUCUCCUCCACCUCUCUCCCUCUCCCUGUAUCAGCCAACUCUCCUCCACCUCUCUUUCUCUCCCUCUCCCUGUAUCAGCCCCCUCUCCUUCACCUCUCUCCUGCUCUCCGUCUCAGUCCCCUCUUCUCCACCUCUCUCCCUCUCCCUGUAUCAGCCAACUCUCCUCCACCUCUCUUUCUCUCCCACUCUCCGUAUCAGUCCCCUCUCCUCCACCUCUCUCUCUCUCCCUGUAUCAGCCCCCUCUGGUGCUCAGCCACCCAUCUGAGUGGAAUGAUGUGGUAUGACUCCCCCUGGUGGUGGCUGUCGACCAUGCCUCCACCAGAGAUAAACAAGCAUGCCGAUUGCCGAAUAAGGAACACUGUGAGCUCUAAGACAUUUCCACCUCAAAGUCAUGAAGAUAUAAAUGUGUAG
rnacentral:lncRNA from 8 species